rnacentral:tRNA from 1 species
AGGAGUUUAGGCUAAUAUUAAACCAAAGGCCUUCAAAGCCCUAAACAGAAGUGAAAAUCCUCUAACUCCUG